rnacentral:rRNA from 1 species
GAAAGUAAGCAAGGGCGCAUGGCGGAUGCCUUGGCUCUCGGAGGCGAUGAAGGACGUGAUAAGCUGCGAUAAGCUUCGGGCAGGUGCAAAUAACCUUUGAUCCGAAGAUUUCCGAAUGGGACAACCCGUCAUUCUGAAGGAAUGACAUCUUGCAUAGCAAGAGGCUAACGCAGGGAACUGAAACAUCUUAGUACCUGUAGGAAAAGAAAAUAAUAAUGAUUCCCCUAGUAGUGGCGAGCGAACGGGGAUUAGCCCAAACCAAUGUUGUUACGGCAAUAUUGGGGUUGUAGGACCACGAUGUCGCAAGAAAUUUAGUGAGAAGAACCCUUUGGAAAAUGGGACCAUAGACGGUGAUAGUCCGGUAUUCGAAGCUAAAUGAAGCGUAGUGGUAUCCUGAGUAGCGCGGGACACGAGGAAUCUUGCGUGAAUCUGCCGGGACCAUCCGGUAAGGCUAAAUACUCCCGAGAGACCGAUAGCGAACCAGUACUGUGAAGGAAAGGUGAAAAGCACUUCGAAUAGAAGAGUGAAAUAGUCCCUGAAACCGUGCGCCUACAAGCGGUCGGAGCUGCUUCAGCAGUGACGGCGUGCCUUUUGCAUAAUGAACCUACGAGUUACUUUUUCCGGCAAGGUUAAGGAUCUUGAGAUCCGCAGCCGAAGCGAAAGCGAGUCUUAACAGGGCGAUUAGUCGGAAGGAGUAGACGCGAAACCAAGUGAUCUACCCUUGGUCAGGUUGAAGGUUAGGUAACACUAACUGGAGGACCGAACCGAUAAGCGUUGAAAAGCUUCCGGAUGAACUGAGGGUGGGGGUGAAAGGCUAAUCAAACUUGGAGAUAGCUCGUACUCCCCGAAAUGCAUUUAGGUGCAGCCUUGGGAAUUACUACUGUGAGGUAGAGCGACUGAUAAGAUGCGAGGGCUUCACCGCCUAUCAAGUCUUGAUAAACUCCGAAUGCGCAGUAGUUCGAUCCCAGGAGUGAGGGCAUGGGUGCUAAGGUCCAUGUCCUAAAGGAGAAGAAUCCAGACCAUCAGCUAAGGUCCCGAAAUAAUUGCUAAGUUGAACUAACGAAGUCAGAUUGCUAAGACAGCUAGGAUGUUGGCUUGGAAGCAGCCAUUCAUUUAAAGAGUGCGUAACAGCUCACUAGUCGAGGAGUUUGGCGUGGAUAAUAAUCGGGCAUUAAGCAAUUUACCGAAGCUAUGGGAUCAGUAAUGAUCGGUAGGGGAGCAUUCCACUCUGCGUCGAAGGUGAAGCGUGAGCUUUGCUGGAGCGUGUGGAAAAGCAAAUGUAGGUAUAAGUAACGAUAAAGGGGGUGAGAAACCCCCUCGCCGAAAGACUAAGGUUUCCUGAUCAACGCUAAUCGGAUCAGGGUUAGUCGGGUCCUAAGGCUCAGCCGAACGGUGAGGCCGAUGGCAGAACAGGUUAAUAUUCCUGUACUACCUUAAGGAGUGACGUGGAGACGGAGGAGUGACAGCGCCGCGGACUGACGGAAUAGUCCGUUGAAGGGUGUAGAUGUUGAUUAUCCCAGGCAAAUCCAGGAUAAGAGUCGAACCUGAUAGUAUACCAAAUUCUUCGGAAUAAGGUAAUAGUGCGUGUAAGCAUACUCCCAAGAAAAUCCGCUAAACUUAAUCUUUAAGGUACCCGUACCGCAAACGGACACACGUAGUCGGGUUGAAUAUACUAAGGCGCUUGAGUGAUUCACGGUUAAGGAACUAGGCAAAUUGACCCUGUAACUUCGGGAUAAAGGGUCCCAACGAGAGUUGGGCGCAGAGAAUAGGUCCAGGCAACUGUUUAACAAAAACACAGGGCUGUGCCAAAUUGAAAGAUUACGUAUACAGCCUGACACCUGCCCGGUGCUGGAAGGUUAAGAGGAGAUGUCAUCGCAAGAGAAGCAUUGAAUUGAAGCCCCAGUAAACGGCGGCCGUAACUAUAACGGUCCUAAGGUAGCGAAAUUCCUUGUCGGGUAAGUUCCGACCUGCACGAAUGGUGUAAUGAUCUGGACACUGUCUCAACCGUGAGCUCAGUGAAAUUGUAGUAUCGGUGAAGAUGCCGAUUACCCGCGAUGGGACGAAAAGACCCCGUGAACCUUUACUAUAGCUUAACAUUGAAUUUGGGUAAUUGAUGUGUAGGAUAGGCCGGAGACUUUGAA